UUUCCUAUCUCUUCAAUUGUAUAUCUCAAAUUUUUCAAUUAUAUAUCUCAAAUUUCUGUCUGUUCGUGCAUCACUCCCCCUUUUCUCCUCCUACAUUUCUUUAAACACUUCUCUCGUUCUUUUUCCUAACCUUUUUUUUUCUCCUCACGUAUUUCUCCAAACACCGCUCUCUCUCUCUCUCUCCCUAAUUUCCAUUUUCCAUUUUCUAUUUUCCAAUUUUUUGUGGCAACAACGAAAGACAAGAAAACCCCAAUUUCUGAACCCCUCAAAAUUUGAUUGGCAUCCUUCCACGCAGUUGAUUCUCUCUCUUCUCGCCCUUUUUUCUCAACAAGAGACCAGCAAAGGCGUCACGUCCACCACCGCUAGCAGACACACUGGCUUCAGGGAAGAGGGCCGUAUCAGCGAGCUUCUUACAUUCCGCAAUGCCAAGGUGAGGGUGAUUAUGAGAGAGAUAGAGAGGAGAGACUGAUUUUGUUUUACUGUAGAGAGAGGGGAGGAAGUCUUUGCAUUGUGGAAUGGAAGAGAUGAUGACAACAUGAUUUGAACUUUCUCUCUCUAAAAUCGACGUUCCACUCUUAUUAAUCCCUUUCUCGAGCUUUGUCAUUCUUUGGGGGCAAGAUACCUUCGAGCUCCUUUUCUUUACUGUUACCCCACCCCUCCUCCGAUUCCCUUGUUUAUUUGAAGGAUUUUUUGUACUUGUACCAGAUACUCUUAGAGCUCUCUCUCUCUAGUCUACUUUUGAUCUCUUUCUAUCUCUUCUUUCUCUGGAUUCUGGUGCUUGAUGGACUGGUAAAGCCUUUUAAGGAUAUAAGAUCGGGGAAUUUUGGGGUUGCCAGGCUUGUGAGAGAUAAGAAAACCAAAGAACUUGUCGUUGUUGAAAUACCUUGAGAGGGGGAACAAGGUAAGAUUUGCUCUUCUGAUGAUUUUCUCUCUGGUUGUACAGAUGUUGUUGUUUCAAUACUUCUAAUGCGCAACAUGUUGCCACAAAAAAUAGAAAAUCGGAGAAGGAUUUUGCCAAAAUGGGAAGUCGGGGAAAGUUUCCAAUGAUCUUGUAGUUUUUGAGAAACACAAGGUCCUGGCAAAAUGCAAGGAAAAACAAGAAAAUGAAACAAAAUUCGUUGAAAUCCAGUGGCUAUGGAGUUGGAGAGAGAGAGCAGGAAGAAAGAGAGGGAGGGGAGAGCAUGAAUUUUUAGAUUCGUGUGGUCUAAUAAAAUCGGUUUAAAUUAAUUCAAAAAAUCAGAAGAAAUAAUAUCUAAAAUUUUUAUUCUUCAAUAUAUCUUUUAAAACUUUAAGCCUGUGAAAUGAAACCCAAAAAUAUAAGAUAUAAAGAUAUUUUUUUAAUAAAAAAAUAUUAAUAAUGCAUUGAUAGAUAUUAAUAAAAGAAGGGUGCGGUUUCCAUAAGGUUCCAACUUUAAAUAAUCCACAAGGACCUUCAAAUUUUGUCAUAAUGUAUAAUUUUGAUGUAAAAUGUUCUUAAUAUUAUUUCAAAAUC
rnacentral:lncRNA from 1 species